rnacentral:rRNA from 1 species
AUUGAACGCUGGCGGCAGGCCUAACACAUGCAAGUCGAACGAGGGGCGGAAGGGGGAGUAAUGUCUGGGAAACUGCCUGAUGGAGGGGGAUAACGACUGGAAAAGGUAGCUAAUACCGCAUACCAUCGGAUGUGCCCAGAUGGGAUUAGGUAGUAGGUGGGGUAACGGCUCACCUAGGCGACGAUCCCUAGCGGGUCUGCGAGGAUGACCAGCCAGCCUGGAACUGAGACCCGGUCCAGACUCCUACGGUAGGCAGCAGUUGUGAACAUUUCACAAUGGGCGAAAGCCUGAUGCAGCCAUGCCGCGUGUAUGAAGAAGGCCUUCGGGUUGUAAAGUACUUUCAGCGGGGAGGCGUUACCCGCAGAAGAAGCACCGGCUAACGCCGUGCCAGCAGCCGCGGUAAUUC